ACAAAACAUAGGCUCAGUGGUUUACACGGAAGUUUCCUUUUGAACUUGAGUUCUGGGGGAGAAGUCCUUCAUCAAGCUAUAUGAAUUGCACUCUAGAAAUCAAUCCAGAUGUGACAAGCCUACAGGAGUACUGCAAGAACAGCCAACAUAAAAAUGUUCAGUAAAAUUGUUCAGAAGUAAAAGAGUCCCUGAGUGCACUGUCCAAGCCAUUGUGCUUCACUCCAUGUAGCCAAGAUGGAAUCACAGAAUUGUUAAGUUUGGAAAAGACCACUAAAAUCACCAAGUCCAACUGUCAAUCCAUCCUCACCAUGCCCACCAACCACAUCCCUCUGUGCUACAUCUACAUGGUUCUUGAACGCCUCCAGGGGAUAAGGUCUCCCCUGAGCCUCCUCUUCUCCACACUGAACAAUACCAGGUCCCUCAGCUGCUCCUCGUAGGACUUGUGCUCCAGACCCCUCCAGACUAAUAAUAAAGAUAGUUUUCUCAUGUCAAGCUGUUUUAUGUUUCAUUUCCAGUAAUUUUAGAAGCACUUAUAGUUUAAUUGUAUGGAAAAAUAUGACACAAAUCUAGAACUCUGAUUGUAGAAGGCUUUCCUGGAACCUCUAUAUUUGAGGUUUUAUGAAAGCACAAACCAUUUAAUAUUAAGAUAUGUUUGUGCAUAC
ensembl:lncRNA